GUUGAAACACUGGUUCCUAUACGAUCACUGAAGUUAAGCAACGUCGAACUUGGUCAGUACUUGGUUAUGGGUGGCUGCUUGGGAAUAUCAGGUAUC